CACCCGCAGCUCGAGUGGUGGUCACUUUUAUUGAGCCUAAAGCGUUUGUAGCCGGUUUUGCAAAUCUUCAGAUAAAUUCCUCUGCUUAACAGAUGAUCUUCUGAAGAGACUGCGAGACUUGGGACCGGGUGAGGUUGAAGGUACUUCCGGGGUAGGGGUAAAAUCCUGUAAUCCUGGAAGGACGACCGGUGGCGAAGGCGUUCAACUAGAACGGAUCCGACGGUGAGGAACGAGGGCUAGGGUAGCAAACCGGAUUAGAUACCCGGGUAGUCCUAGCUGUAAACACUGCCCACUUGGUGUUGCCCCUCCGAUGAGGGGAGGCAGUGCCGGAGCGAAGGUGUUAAGUGGGCCGCUUGGGGAGUAUGGUCGCAAGGCUGAAACUUAAAGGAAUUGGCGGGGGAGCACCGCAACGGGAGGAGCGUGCGGUUUAAUUGGAUUCAACGCCGGAAAACUCACCGGGAGCGACCUUUGGAUGAGAGUCAGCCUGAUGAGCUUACUCGAUAGAAGGAGAGGUGGUGCAUGGCCGUCGUCAGCUCGUACCGUAGGGCGUUCACUUAAGUGUGAUAACGAGCGAGACCCCCAUCUCUAAUUGCUAACGUGCAUUCGCGUGCACGCGCACUUUAGAGGGACCGCCAGUGCUAAACUGGAGGAAGGAGGGGUCGACGGCAGGUCAGCACGCCCCGAAUCUCCCGGGCAACACGCGCGCUACAAAGGGCAGGACAAUGAGUUGCCACCUCGAAAGGGGGAGCUAAUCUCGAAACCUGUUCGUAGUUAGGAUUGAGGGCUGUAACUCGCCCUCAUGAAUGUGGAUUCCGUAGUACUCGCGGGUCAACAGCCCGCGGUGAAUAUGCCCCUGCUCCU
rnacentral:rRNA from 1 species